AUACGGAGGGUGCAAGCGUUACUCGGAAUCACUGGGCGUAAAGCGCGCGCAGGCGGGCUGAUAAGUUGGAUGUGAAAGCCUACGGCUCAACCAUAGAACUGCAUCCAAAACUGUCAGUCUAGAGUGUGGGAGAGGAAGAUGGAAUUAGUUGUGUAGGGGUAAAAUCCGUAGAGAUAACUAGGAAUACCAAAAGCGAAGGCAAUCUUCUGGAACACUACUGACGCUGAGGCGCGAAGGCGUGGGGAGCAAACAGGAUUAGAUACCCGAGUAGUCC
rnacentral:rRNA from 1 species